AUGGAGGAAGCCACAGCACCAUCUUCGUAUGAAUCAUGUAGAAUGCCUCUAUCACAGUUGGCCAAAAAACACCUAUUUGAACCUGACACUAGUGAGAUAGCCAAUCCAGUGAUUACGAAGUUAGGCGUACCACACGGCCAUCCUGAGCUUGGACCACGUGGAUGGACGGCAGGGUCAUCUUUCUCAGCUCGUUGUUAUCAACCUCCCGCACCUGGGCCCAGACUAGGUGAAGCUUCAACCCUUGGGACACAUAUGAUAUCCAAAGGUUUAGGCUGGGAGAAUCAUGAGGUUGAAUAUGCCCCAAUGCCUCUUGGCUAUGUUGAAUGGGGUACUAAUGUCUUGAAGAAAUAUCAUACCCACCUGAAGGGGAGUGAAGAGGGCGUGGAUUACGUCUAUGGAGCCAUUUAUUUCUCUUUAGCCAACUAUUCUGUCUCCCCUCCUCUUUUAAGUUCUUUAUUGGAGAAAUGGGAUCCCAACACCAACACGUUUUUGUUCUCGUGUGGCGAGCGUACAGUCACACUUCUUGAUAUGCAUCAGAUCGCGGGGUUGCCCCUUGAUGGUGAACCUUACGAAGAAUAUGUUUCCCUAGCUGAUGAGCUGGAUCCUUCGACUCUUUUGUACCCCAACUUCCUGCCUCGGCUCCUAGAAACUUGGACCGAGCUUGAUGUGGGUGGCAAAGUAGGUUUCAAGGAAUGGUGUGACUUCUUUCACAAUAGUGGAGUAGACUUUGCUACCCAGAGCUUAGAAGACCAAUGCAUGUAUACUGCAGCUUUUCUCGCCAUAUGGCUUUACCGCUACGUCGUUGUUGGUGGUGGGCCAUAUAUUCGCCCUGGGGUAUUAGUGAUGGCGGCAUGGAUUUCCCUAGGACGACGCAUCUAUCUGGGCCCACCUGCUCUUUGCUCCCUUUAUUACUCACUUCGGCGAAUUUGUACUCAUCCUAUUGGUCCCUCGUUCAUACAUAGAAUUUGGCCAGUCCACUACCUUGCUGGAUGGAUGGGUGUGUACCUCAAGAAACCCUAUGGAAACAGAGCAAAAAUACCAUAUUUACCAAGCCCUAAACUUUUGGCACUACAACCUAAUAUGGUGAAAACCAUGUUUAUGACACCACGUCAUUUUACUCCUGAAGAAGCACAUGCUUUCCUCGAUGAUUAUAAGAAUAUUGCUUGA
rnacentral:rRNA from 1 species